rnacentral:rRNA from 1 species
GCGAACACGUACGCAACCUUCCUUUAACUGGAGAAUAGCCCCUCGAAAGAGGGAUUAAUACUCCGUAACAUAUUGAUAAGGCAUCUUAUUAAUAUUAUAGCUCCGGCGGUUAAAGAUGGGCGUGCGCCUGAUUAGGUAGUUGGCGGGGUAACGGCCCACCAAGCCUUCGAUCAGUAACUGGUGUGAGAGCACGACCAGUCACACGGGCACUGAGACACGGGCCCG